rnacentral:tRNA from 3 species
CAGGGAAUAGUUUAGUUAGAAUAUCAGCUUUGGGUGCUGAUGGUGGGGCUAUUGUCUCUUCCUUGA